CAAAGGGCUUGACAUUGAAUUUUCUACAAGGUCUUUGUCCGUCCAUGUGCCAGCUAAUGAACCGUAAUAAUUGACUUAGUUGACUUACUGAUCACCAUGAAAAGAUGUAGGUUAAGUUCCAGCAACGUGCAUACGGUAAAUCUUUGCCUGCCUGCUGAAUGCUUUGUGCAGCCAUGGAUACCACACCAAACUCAGAGUUCGUGUUCUUCAUGAUUUUAUUAUGUGCAUUUCUCGAGUCCCAUGUUUCCCUUGCAGCUGACACCAUCAGCGAAAACCAAUCUCUCUCGGGCGAUCAAACUAUUGUCUCCGCAGGUGGGAAUUUUGAGCUCAGUUUCUUCAAACCAGUUUUAAUGAUUUCAGAUGGUAAUUUAGUCCUGUUUAACAAGUCCAAAGCCCCUGUUUGGUCAAUUUAACCUCCUCCUCCGCCACUGCACUUCUUUUGGAUACCGGAAACUUCUCGGUGUCCAGUAAUAGUUUAUCAGAGCCGUUAUGGAAAAGCCUUGAUAAUCCAAUGCAUACUUGGCUGCCAGGAGCUAGAAUUGGGUUUAACACUGUUACCCAACAAACCCAAAUUCUUACUUCGCGGAAGAGUUCGAAGGAUCCUGGACAGGGUCUUUUCUCGCUUGAGUUAGACCGAACGGAAGCAAUGCGUGUCUCAUACUGUGGACUCCACAGUAUUGGAUAUGCAUUGCAUCCGUGACGCAUACUUCACCCACCCUCUUUAUGAUCCAAAGAUAUUUUCUCGAUUCGUGAUGCUUACUUCGGGGCAAAUUCAACAGUUGUCAUUGUGGGACAUACCGUGCAAUUUGGUUAGGUCCCAAUGGAGAAAACAAUGCGAAGUUUAUGAUUUGUGUGGUAAGCAACGUCGCCUAUUAUUGCUUGAACGUUUUUGAGCCGAAGGCGAAGAGGGACUGGGAUUUAAAGGACUACCCUGGUGGGUGUUCGAGAAAAAACGAUCUGCAGCUGAGGCAAUCUAACUCGAACAUUUCCUAAUCCUAUACCUCCAUCUCUUCUUGGGUUCGAUAUGUGAAUCCUCAAGAGUUUACACAUUAUUGUAGAGCAUUGAUGAAGUUGAGCACAACCGUAAUACAUUAAAUUUUCUACAAAGACUUUG